rnacentral:rRNA from 1 species
GACGAACGCUGGCGGCGUGCUUAACACAUGCAAGUCGAACGGAAAGGCCCCAGCUUGCUGGAGUGCUCGAGUGGCGAACGGGUGAGUAACACGUGGGCAAUCUGCCCUGCACUCUGGGAUAAGCCUGGGAAACUGGGUCUAAUACCGGAUAGGACCUUUCUCCUCAUGGGGUUUGGUGGAAAGUUUUUCGGUGCAGGAUGAGCCCGCGGCCUAUCAGCUUGUUGGUGGGGUAAUGGCCUACCAAGGCGACGACGGGUAGCCGGCCUGAGAGGGUGAUCGGCCACAUUGGGACUGAGAUACGGCCCAGACUCCUACGGGAGGCAGCAGUGGGGAAUAUUGCACAAUGGGCGAAAGCCUGAUGCAGCGACGCCGCGUGAGGGAUGACGGCCUUCGGGUUGUAAACCUCUUUCAGUAGGGACGAAGCGCAAGUGACGGUACCUGCAGAAGAAGCACCGGCUAACUACGUG